GUCUUGAUAGUUUAUACCAAACACCAACAUGUGAGGUUGGAGAUGAUUAUUUCUUAGGACA
rnacentral:tRNA from 1 species